rnacentral:lncRNA from 1 species
CUGGCUUAGAAGGAGCAGUUUGUGCAGGAAAAACUGUGUUGUGCUCAUAGUUGAUCUGAUACUUAGGUGUACUAAGUGUUUGAGCAGAAUUGAACCGGAAUGGACAACUCAUUUGGUGGUUAUUUCUUGAAGUCCUGUCAAGGAAUCCAGCUUGAUAAUUGCUGUAUGGGCAGUGAAGGUACUCACAAGUAUAUAUCUUUUGAUCAACAGACUCCUCAAAACAUGGUUGCUUCCUCUUUUGGAUAAAAUCACAAGUUAAAUCGAUAAUUUCUCCUUUCACUGGAGCUAAACCUGGCAUCAAGAUCCUAUCUUUAGGUAACAUAAUUCCAGUUUGGAGAUUGAUGUCAUGGGGUUUACAUUCCACUUCAUUGUUUCUCUCGUCAUCCACUCCUUCCACAUCGUAAUCGCUAGCAUCGCUGAUGAAAAAGGAACCAUUACCAAUAGCUAAAGAUCCAUGUGGAUAGCUAUCAGGAUACAGCUUACGAGCCAAAGCCUCUUCUUGAUUGAUAAUAGCAAGCCAAGUUGCACUCUCCUUAGCUGUCAUCUUAUCCUGCAAGCACUUUGACUGACGAACAAGCUUGCGAAUCUUAGCAAUGUCGGGAGAGAUGUGUUUGAUUACCGCCGUUAGAACACCAACCUUCCAGGCCUUCUUCAGAUCAUGAGGCUUCUUGUAUGGAGGUUGAACUUGAUCAUUUGGCAGACCCAACUGACCCCACCAGUCCUCUUUACCAGAGGGCCACCAGGGUGGAGAUACCCCUUUCUCCAACGGAAACCGCCUCUGUGGAGGAUCACAGUGCUGCAUCAAAGCAGACAAAAGGGAUCCUAGAGUUGUAUCCUGCAGCUCCUGUAAAGUGUGGGGAGUGGAAACUAUCACACUCGAUUCCUCAACCCUCCCGGGAAUCUGGUUAUCAGCCUGAUACUUAGCGAUGGCAGCAGGGCCAUUUCGAUCAAAUCUGACCUUUUCCUUCCACCAAGCACGAAGAUUGUCUGAAGCACCAGUCACAGGCUUCCCUUUCUCAGGGAUAAUUCCAUAAACAAAACCCUGAGCAUUACAAACUUCCAUC